AGUAGUUGGUGUAAAGGCACGUAUUAUUUUGAUUAAUAAAGAAAUAGUGUAAUUCUAUUACUAUU
rnacentral:tRNA from 1 species